rnacentral:ncRNA from 1 species
UGACCUCAAAUCAGGUAGGAUUACCCGCUGAACUUAAGCAUAUCAAUAAGCGGAGGAAAAGAAACCAACAGGGAUUGCCUCAGUAACGGCGAGUGAAGCGGCAAAAGCUCAAAUUUGAAAUCUAGUACCUUCGGUGCUCGAGUUGUAAUUUGAAGGUAGUUUUCUGGUGCUGGCCCUUGUCUAUGUUCCUUGGAACAGGACGUCAUAGAGGGUGAGAAUCCCGUCUGAUGGGUGUCCAGUGCU